rnacentral:snRNA from 1 species
AUGUUCACCUUGGCAACACACACACUAAAUUGGAGUGAUACAGAGACUAGCCUUGCCUCUGCACAAAGAUGACAUGGAAAUUCACGAAGUGAUCCAUAUUUUA